rnacentral:misc_RNA from 1 species
AACAGCCGCGGUAAUUCCAGCUCCAAUAGCGUAUAUUAAAGUUGUUGCAGUUAAAAAGCUCGUAGUUGAAUUUCGGGAUCAAUAUGUUGGUCGUGCCUUGGUACGUACUGGCGUCAUUGGUUUCUACCUUCUGAAGAACCUCGAUGUCAUUAAUUUGGUGUCUUGGGGAAUCAGGACUGUUACUUUGAAAAAAUUAGAGUGUUUAAAGCAAGCUCACGCUUGAAUACAUUAGCAUGGAAUAAUGAAAUAGGACGUUUGAUUCUAUUUUGUUGGUUUCUAGGAUCGACGUAAUGAUUAAUAGGGAUAGUUGGGGGCAUUAGUAUUCAAUUGUCAGAGGUGAAAUUCUUGGAUUUAUUGAAGACUAACUACUGCGAAAGCAUUUGCCAAGGAUGUUUUCAUUAAUCAAGAACGAAAGUUAGGGGAUCGAAGACGAUCAGAUACCGUCGUAGUCUUAACCAUAAACUAUGCCGACUAGGGAUCGGAUGAUGUUAAUUUUUUAAUGACUCAUUCGGCGCCUUAC